rnacentral:rRNA from 1 species
UACGUAGGGUGCAAGCGUUGUCCGGAAUUAUUGGGCGUAAAGAGCUCGUAGGCGGUCUGUCACGUCGGCUGUGAAAACUCGGGGCUCAACUCCGAGCCUGCAGUCGAUACGGGGCAGACUAGAGUUCGGUAGGGGGAGACUGGAAUUCCUGGUGUAGCGGUGAAAUGCGCAGAUAUCAGGAGGAACACCUGCGGUGUAGACGGCUUACUGGACCAUAACUGACGCUGAGGCACGAAAGCGUGGGUAGCAACAGGAU